AGAUGGGCAAUGAAAGGGAAAAGUAUUAUAGACUACAGUUUUCAGGGAGGGAGUGUCACCGAUUGUAAGCAUUCCUAAAUAUGACUAUAAGAAAAACUACCCUGGAGCUAUGGCUUAUUAGCAAAAUUUUGUGAAAUGCCAUCGGUGAAAAUCGUUAAAAAUUAUAGAGAUGAAUUGAGUUAUUAUAAAUUCAAUUUGGGUGGAACCACGGAUAUUAUGCAUUCGUCCCAAGG
rnacentral:ncRNA from 1 species